GUGCUUACUUUGGAAGUACAUAUACUAAAAUUAGAAUGAUACAGACAAGGCUAGCAUGGCUUUUGUGUAUGGUGAUAUGCAAAUUCGUGAAGUGUUCCAUGUUUUU